rnacentral:rRNA from 1 species
GAUGAACGCUGGCGGCGUGCUUAACACAUGCAAGUCGAACGGAAAGGCCCAAGCUUGCUUGGGUACUCGAGUGGCGAACGGGUGAGUAACACGUGGGUGAUCUGCCCUGCACUUCGGGAUAAGCCUGGGAAACUGGGUCUAAUACCGGAUAGGACCACUUCUUGGAUGUUGUGGUGGAAAGUUUUUUCGGUGUGGGAUGAGCUCGCGGCCUAUCAGCUUGUUGGUGGGGUAAUGGCCUACCAAGGCGUCGACGGGUAGCCGGCCUGAGAGGGUGUACGGCCACAUUGGGACUGAGAUACGGCCCAGACUCCUACGGGAGGCAGCAAUGGGGAAUAUUGCACAAUGGGCGCAAGCCUGAUGCAGCGACGCCGCGUGGGGGAUGACGGCCUUCGGGUUGUGAACUCCUUUCGCUAGGGACGAAGCGUUUUUGUGACGGUACCUGGAGAAGAAGCACCGGCUAACUACGUG